AUAAGUUAGGAGACUAUUAAAAAACCAGGUCAGAAUAUCUGCAGGUUUUUUUAGAACUAUUGUUAAAAACUCAUGCAAUGAUAUCCGACAUAAUUUCUCUGGAGCUAAAAAAAAAUUGCAUCAAAGUCAUGUCCAACAGUCCCAAAUUUAAUAUUCCUAGUCAUUUGCUGAAAAAACUAGAAUCUCGUCAAGGUGACAAGUUAAAAGCUCGCCAAUUGUCUAAAACUAGUAAAUCCGAAUCUAUCGAUAAAUUAGAAAAUUUAAAACGUGGAAUAACCGAUCAGCUAUUGUCUUUGAAAAAUGCCGGCAGCGGUAGCGAAAUUCUGAACGGGAGUUUAAGCAAACUUGCUGAUGACAUUAAGCUUUUCUAUGGAAUGAUCGACGAAAAUAGCAAUUUAUUCUCUAAUUAUCAAAUUAUAAGCUAUCGCAAAUUUAUUACUCAAAUCACCAAAGAAUUGGAUGUUAUCAACAUUUUGCCGUUGGAUUUAAAGCUAGAUACCAUAGACGCUGCCAUAAAUCCUUCUAGCUUGUAUAGAGAUUCCUCAAACACCAUCGACGACUCAUCGCUCAUCCUGAUGAAAAUUGAUCCUAAAUCGCAAGAGUUAUGUGAUAAAAAACCAGUAGUUCUGAAAAAUCUCGAAAAUGUCGUUAUAAAUCUAGAUCAAAAUCAAACUCGGAAUGUUAAUUUAAUUGUAGAAAACAUCAAAAAUUGUCAAAUCUUUAUUUUUCACACCAUCCCUAACCUGAAAUUGAGCAAUAUAAGGAAUUGCACGAUUAAAACCGGACCAAUCUUAACCUCGGCGUUCAUCGAGGACUGUUACGACAGCGAAAUAUAUCUUAUAUCCCGACAAUUGCGUAUUCAUAGCAGCAAAUCUUCGAAACUGCACGUGUUGGUCGCUAAUCGGAUAGUCAUGGAAGAUUGUAGCGAGCUAGAAUUUUCUCGUUACAACCUGGAUUACGAAGAAUUAAAGGACCAACUAAAAUGCUCUUCGAUAAUUAUUGAUGGAUGCGAUUGGAAGAAAAUCGACGAUUUUAGUUGGGCAAAUCCUUUUCAGCCCUCUCCGAAUUUUACAAUAGCGCAAAUUUAAUUAAUCAAUCACGACAAAAUAAUUUAAAAUUUUUCCGAGUCCGUGAAAUUGGUUCAAAUCCAAAUAAAAUUACAAAUCCGGUCAAAAUAAAAAUUUUUUAAAUUAGGUUUCAACAUGGCCGAGAAAGAGAAUAUCUAUCCAAGUUCGGUCGGAUCGAACUCGGAGUUUAUCCAAAUCCGGAUGUCAUUGCACAGUUGUAAUUUUUAUCUAAAAGCAAGAUUCCAGGUACAACUCAUCAACACCCCAAUAGUCUAGAUCGUCGCUGAAAGAUAAAAUGCACAUUUCGUCUAUCAAAUGCAACUUCCCGGUUCGAUAAAAAUUGAGAAUGGAACCAAAACUCCUGGGGUGUCGAUCAA